ACUGAGGAAGCUUCUCGCACCGAGGAUCAUUCAUUUAUGAACGUUCGAUCGGUGCGAGUUAAAAUUAUUUGGGUCUGCUGACCGCAAAUAUGAAAUCUUGUGAUUACUCGACAAAUUAUUGCUGUAAUCAAGUGCGCUCCUAUAGUAUAAUAUACUGUGGGCAAAAGCCUCUGGCAAUGAUCAUUCGUUUCAUUAACUAUUAGAGGGCCAGUCUGGUGCCAGCAGCCGCGGUAAUUCCAGCUCUAAUAGCGUAUAUUAAAGGUGUUGCGGUUAAAAAGCUCAUAGUUGAAUCUGUGUCCCACACUGUCGGUUCACCGCUCACUGUCAUGUUCAACAGGCAUGUCUGUGGGACGUCCUACCGGUGGUCUUAGCCCGUAAAAAGGCGGCCCAACUCAAAAUCCUACCAAGGUGCUCUUCACCGAGUGUCGAGGUGGGCCGGUACGUUUACUUUGAACAAAUUAGAGUGCUUAAAGCAGGCUCAUUCGCCUGAAUAUUGUGUGCAUGGAAUAAUGGAAUAGGACCUCGGUUCUAUUUUGUUGGUUUUCGGAAUUCCGAGGUAAUGAUUAAUAGGGACAACUGGGGGCAUUCGUAUUGCGACGUUAGAGAUGAAAUUCUUGGAUCGUCGCAAGACGGACAGAAGCGAAAGCAUUUGCCAAAUGUGUUUUCAUCAAUCAAGAACGAAAGUUAGAGGUUCGAAGGCGAUCAGAUACCGCCCUAGUUCUAACCAUAAACGAUGCCAGCUAGCGAUCCGCCGAAGUUCCUCCAAUGACUCGGCGGGCAGCUUCCGGGAAACCAAAGCUUUUGGGUUCCGGGGGAAGUAUGGUUGCAAAGCUAAAACUUAAAGGAAUUGACAGAAGGGCACUACAAGGAGUGGAGCCUGCGGCUUAAUUUGACUCAACACGGGAAACCUCACCAGGUCCAGACAUCGGAAGGAUUGACAGAUUGAGAGCUCUUUCUUGAUUCGGUGGGUGGUGGUGCAUGGCCAUUCUUAGUUGGUGGAGUGAUUUGUCUGGUUAAUUCUGAUAACGAACGAGAUUCUAGCCUGCUAAAUAGACGUACUUUCUGGUAUCGCAAAGACCCUCCGCUUCGGCUUCGGUCGUUGUUGGUUGUGGUUCUCACUACCGGCGUACAAAUAUAUCUUCUUAGAGGGACAGGCGGCAUUUAGUCGCACGCAAUUGAACAAUAACAGGUCUGUGAUGCCCUUAGAUGUUCUGGGCCGCACGCGCGCUACACUGAAGAGAUCAGCAGGUUUUCCUUGGCCGAAAGGUCCGGGUAAUCCGUUGAAGCCUCUUCGUGCUAGGGAUUGGGGCUUGCAAUUCUUCCCCAUGAACGAGGAAUUCCUAGUAAGCGCGAGUCAUAAGCUUGCGUUGAUUAUGUCCCUGCCCUUUGUACACACCGCCCGUCGCUACUACCGAUUGAAUUAUUUAGUGAGGUCUUCGGACCGGUGCGCGGCAGCGUUUCGACAUUGCCGAUGUUGCUGGGAAGAUAACCAAACUUGAUUAUUUAGAGGAAGUAAAAGUCGUAACAAGGUUUCCGUAGGUGAACCUGCGAAAG
rnacentral:rRNA from 1 species